AAUUUAUAACGAAGAGGUGAGAGACAGGCUCGUUGACCCUCUGGCAACCUGAAUCAAGGUGCCAAAUCCUGCCCGAUUUUGGGAAAUAUAAAUU
rnacentral:ncRNA from 2 species